AAUACGAGGACGCCGCGUCCACAUUGCAGCGCGCGAGACGUCGAACCAAAUUCGAAUUCUCUCGAUAAAAACACAACCGCGUCGCCUGACACGAGCACGCUUUCAGAUGAAGACAGAUUAAUUCAUAAACUCCAUCUGGACGCAUGCAAGGAGCGAUGUAGUUUGAUGACCGAGGGAAAGCAAAGUAAACCGUCUCUGGGGAAAGUUAUGGAAGACACGUAGAGUUGGAGGAUGCAGUGUCUGCUUCACUAUGGAGCCAUAGGAUGGCAUCUGAAAUGGCAUGCCACAAAAAGUGCCCCGAGCCUUUUUGGCAUCGAAGGCUGUCAUAAAUGUAGCCCCCACUCUUUGAGGAAGAGUCAGGAUCAGAAAUUAUUAAUCAGAAAAGAACAUACGUUGACCCUAUAACCGGCUACAAUGUGUUUACUGAGUUUGCCCAUAGGAAAAGAGGAAGAUGUUGCGGGACUGCCUGCAGACAU